CUAAAGUUAGUAAUCUUAUAACAUAAUAUUAUAAGUUUAAAUACGAAUCUAACUAACAGUGUCGUCCAAAUGCUGUCAGUUGUAGUGGGAUUACAACAUAUAUGGCUAUUAAAUUACCAAAUUCCGGGGACACCCUAAAGAUUAAAGUACCAAGCAUUAAUCGAAAGAUUAACAGUGGCUGAAGUAAUGACUCAGGUAUGGUAACAAGCUUUAAGAUGACUGAAAAUGAAAUGGGUUAUCGCGGAUCUAAGUCAUCUGUAUCUAAUUUAAAUAAUAAAUUAAUAGCUACAGGUGUAAAAGAGCAACGAGUAGACGGUAAUUGGUGUUUUCUUAAAUCAAGAAAAUGUUUAAGGUAUACUCUAACGGGUCUCGAAAGAGACUAUCAAAUCGGAAUCCCUUCUAAUCAAAAAGCUAAAAGAUUUUAUUCUACUAGUGAUAAUAUAACAUUGAAUCCUUAUUUUGUUACAGGUUUUACAGAUGCUGAAGGAAGUUUUACUGUUUCUAUUUAUCCAGAUAGUUCUAUGAAGACCGGUAUUAGAGUAACUGCUGAAUUUAAAAUAGGCUUGAACGAACGAGAUAGUGAUCUUUUAUUAAAAAUUCAACAAUUUUUUGGAGGAAUAGGUAAAAUAAAUUAUAAUAAUUCCUCUAAAGCAUCAAUAUAUAGAGUAUAUAAAAAAGAUGAUUUGUUAAAUGUUAUUAUUCCACACUUUAUGAAUUAUCCGCUAUUGAGUAAAAAAUCAAUUGAUUUUUAUUUAUUUGUGAGAAUACUUAAUUUAAUUAAUGAAGAUGCUCGAAAACCGGUUUAUUAGAGAUAGUUAUUAUUUAUGCCUCUUAAAUAGAGGUAUUCUAAUUUUGUUAAAUCUAAAAUUUUUCACAAUCAACCAGUAUUAAGAGAAAAUGUAAAAAUUUUUAAUAUCACUGAUCCUAACUGAAUCGCAGGGUUUUGUUAGUGGUGAAGGUAAUUUUGAUGCUGGAAUUCGAAAAGCAACAGAUACUAGGAAAGAAAGAGUAUACUUAAGAUUUAGAGUUACUCAACACAGUAGAGAUAUCGAUUUAAUGGAAUUACUCAUAAAGUAUUUAGAAGCUGGAAGAAUUGAAUGAGAUAACAGAAUUGAAAAUUAUGCGGUAAGUAUUGUAGCAGGUAACUUUUUAGAUAUAACAAAUAAAAUAAUUCCUUUCUUUAAUAAAUAUCUCAUUUAUGGUAUUAAAUAUUAUGAUUAUUUAGAUUGAGUAAAAAUUGCAGAAUUAAUAAAAUUAGGCAAAAAUAAAACUCCUGAAGGAAUGGAAGAAAUAAAACGAAUAGAAACUAGAAUGAAUAAAGGUAGAAAAUAAUAAAAAUUAGCUAUUGUACGAUAAAUCCGAUAACCGUGGGUGCCAGAAGACUCGGUAAUACCAGAGACGCGAACGUUAAUCAUCUUGAAUGGGCAUAAAGGGUUUGUAGGCGGCUUAUUUAUUAAUAGGCUAGAAUCUUAAAGAGGUUAAUAAAAUACUUGGAGUAGGGCUGAUAUCCUUAGAUCCUGAGUGGAAUCCUAAUUGCGAAGGCCAUUAACCACUACAGAUUGACGCUGAGAAACGAAGGUUAGGAUAGGAACUAGGAUUAGAGACCCUAUUACCCCUAACUGUAAACGAUGAAUGGAAGAUAUUUAUAUUAUAAAUUGUAAGUGUCGAAGUGAAUACGAUAACCAUUCCGCCUUGCCAGUAUACUUGCAAAAGUGAAAACAAAAAAAUU
rnacentral:rRNA from 1 species